GACGAACGCUGGCGGCGUGCUUAACACAUGCAAGUCACGGGGCCGCAAGGUAACGGCGAACGGUGCGUAACACGUGAGCAACCUGCCUAGAUGUGGGGGAGUAGCCGGCCCAACGGCCGGGUAAUACCGCAUACGGUCACGAGGAGGAGUCUCCUUGUGAAGAAACCUCCGGGGCAUUUAGAGGGGCUCGCGGCCUAUCAGCUAGUUGGUGAGGUAAUGGCUCACCAAGGCUUCGACGGGUAGCUGGUCUGAGAGGAUGGCCAGCCACAUUGGGACUGAGAUACGGCCCAGACUCCUACGGGAGGCAGCAGUGGGGAAUCUUGCGCAAUGGCCGAAAGGCUGACGCAGCGACGCCGCGUGUGGGA
rnacentral:rRNA from 1 species